rnacentral:rRNA from 1 species
UACGUAGGGCGCAAGCGUUGUCCGGAAUUAUUGGGCGUAAAGAGCUCGUAGGCGGCUUGUCACGUCGGGUGUGAAAGCCCGGGGCUUAACCCCGGGUCUGCAUUCGAUACGGGCUAGCUAGAGUGUGGUAGGGGAGAUCGGAAUUCCUGGUGUAGCGGUGAAAUGCGCAGAUAUCAGGAGGAACACCGGUGGCGAAGGCGGCGACCUGGUCCGAUACUGACGCUGAGGCGCGAGAGCGUGGGGAGCAAACAGG